ensembl:lncRNA
AAAGAAAGAAAGAAAGAAAGAAAGAAAGAAAGAAAGAAAGAAAGAAAGAAAGAAAGAAAGAAAGAAAGAAAGAAAGAAAGAAAGAAAGAAAGAAAGAAAGAAAAAAACAGCUUGCUGCAAUCUCACUGAAAAAGAUUUUGCAGUUUGGAACAAUAUCAAUAGAUACACAGGAUGCAGCUCAGGAUACAUUAUCGUGUCCUGUCAGGCAGCAGGAGGAUAAGAACUCCAUAUUUUGAUGACACGACUAACUGGAUCAUUCUGCAUUUGUCUAGAAGCAGACAAAAGAGAAGAAGAACUACGUAUCCCAGAGGACCUCGUGGUCAGAGAAGGAAGAUACAUCAUGGAAGAUACGUCAUCUGGUUGCACAUGGUCUCUCACUUUCGCUUGCUGCUAGGGAGAGGAGUGGGUGUGCUUUCCAAGCCGUGUGCCUUCAUCAGUCCUGAGUGAACUUUGGUAAGACUGGCAAUCCAAGGCUUGUGUGCCAGCAGCUUUGAUGGUGGAAAGGAUGCUUCUGAGUUAAGUAUAGUGGUCCCUGGUAAAGGUGUCUUUUCACUCUCCCUUUCAUGGUGUUUGUUGCUGUUGUUGUAGUUUGUUUGUUUUGGUUUCUUUUCCCCCUCAUUUUUAUUUGCAGGACAGUAAUGUUUUGAACCAAGGAAAAUCCACAUGGAAGUCUUUAUGUCAGACAAGGAGGAGCAGUGGCCAGGAAGAUGAGAUGCUAAGAUUUUCUGAUUUGUGAAAUGAAAUCAGAUGAUGUAUGGAAUCAAAAGGAAAAUUUGUACCAGUACUUGAAGAUGAAAAAUGGCUCACAGAUUUAGCAUUUUUGAACAACAACCUGAAGAGAUGAAACCAACUGUUGACUGCUGAAACAUUCCUUAGGACUAGCAGCCAAUGAACUUGAAAAAAUAGAGAAACAAAAUGGCUUAACACCUUAAUGUCAAGAGAGACUUCUAAUGAUGGAAAUGUUCUAGGCUGGAUCACUAAGAUAAGUAUUAAUAACAAUCUCCUGUUAUUUUUGUCUUCUAUACGUAGCGCAGAAGAAUAAGUGACUCCUUCCAGUCCUGUGGGUAUUGUUAAUGACAAGCUGCUUGGCUUUGUUUUUCUACCUUUCCUUAUUUAUUUCACUUACUAUCAUAUCUAGGCAGUUUCAGAGAGUUUUAUCAUUUCUUGUCAAAUCUAUCUUGAUCACUUAUCAUUCAAAUGGAUGUUUAAUAUCAAGCUUCAAUGCUCACAGACCUUUUCAGGACUCAGAAGCAGGUAUUUUACAUCCUGAAUAUAUAGUUAUAUGUAAAACGCUCUGAGUUAACUGUCUCGUGGCCUUUAUAUUCUCUUGAAUCAUCUUCUGAUUUCUAUUGACAAAAUGAAAAUACUUAGUUAAGGUUGUAGGCAAAAAAAUAAGUGCAGAAGGUAUAUAGUGUAUGCAAUACAUAGCCAUUACACUGAGUCCUAAAUAAGCCUAGAGGAAGACUGAACAGUAGUGCUGCAAGGAGUCAACAAUCUCAUUUAUCUUUGUGAGCUCCCAACUCCCACAUAGUCAGUACCAGGCACUUGAGUAAACAAUGCAAACAAACUCACUGAAUAAAGAUGGGAAAACUGAAAACCUGCACUAAUUCCUAAAAAGUAAAUACUUCAUACCCUGUCACAGAAGGGUUAUGAAAAAAUAGUAUGGAGAAGAAGAAAUGGUUUAAAAAGCCUAAAAAGCAGAAAUUGAGCCAUUCUUAUUAUAUGCACAGUCUAUUCUGAGCAAAACAUUUUUGUCAGAUCACAGUGCUGUAUCUUUUUUUUAUGUGCAGUUUGGAAAAACAGAGCAGUCUCUGCUUCACUAUGCUGAUUGUUUUGUCUCAUGCACGACCAUGUCUCUAAAUUUGCCACCCACAGCCCUGACAGCCUCUCUACCCUCCAUCACCCUCAUUUAAAAAAAUAAAAUCUCUGUUAGAUUACAUCUCUAGGGCAGGCACAAAAGCAACUGUGUAGAGAUCCCUGAUUUGAUCUAUAGAAGCUAUCUUGUACACUAGUGGGAUUCUAGUCUUGAGAGCAGAACACAAAUUCAUGUACCCUGCAGCUUGGCUUGGUUUUGCAGCCUAUGCAGCACUUUGUGCUGCCACAGCCAAAUUGGUACUGAUACUUUAAGUAAGUGUCGCAAUAUAUCUAAGUCAGUUUUAUGCUAACUGCAGUCACUGCUACAACCUCAGCAUUGGUGCUCCCUCCUUUACAGCCUGCGUAUUCAGCCACCACUCCAUAUAUUUGUUCUUCUGCUAGGCUAUUUGCUCUUCUUUCACAUACAAAAUAAAUUGUAUAUAUUCUUUUAUAUUCACAAGUAAUUUUUUACUUUCUGGCUUCCCUAUUUCUGUAUCAUCUCAUAUGUGUUACAGAACAUUGCUGGCUAGCCCCAUAUUGCUGUAAAGGCAUAGAGAGUCUCUAUUUCCAUUAUCACAUUUAAAUACUUCAGAAGAAACCAUGCAUUAUGUAUUCUGAAUACUUACUAAAACAUCUUGAUCCUUAAAAAGAGUUUGGUGUCUUUCACUAUCUUUUUCCCUACUUUACACUGGGGCCGAUAACUUUUGGAAUUACAUGAAACCUAGAGAACUGGGAAAAUGAGCCGGAGAGAAAAAUGUAUUUAAUUUUCAGAUAACAAAGCAGUCAGGAAAAGGACUGAAUAAGUCAAGAUAGUAGAAGCAUGGAAAGGUUGCCUUGCCCUCUCUAAACGCUUGGAGAAAUUGUUUCAUAAAGAAAUGGAAGAAAAAAUACAUUUUGUUAUGUUUAUUGUAUUUCUGUGCAGAGGAAGGGGUGAAACUGCAAAGAAAGGAGGCAGCAUCAUUCAUCGCAAGUAUUUAGUAACUGUUGUAGUAGGUGUCUUGCGGGGCUACGGGAUGUACGGGACAGGCCUCUCCCUAAGCAUAGAGAGACAGUGUUAUCGUGCUGACCUUGAUGCAGAGAAAACAGGAGAAGAAGAAGGAUGAGAAAAGAAUGUGGAAACGGCCAAAUAAGGCACAAUGUUAUCUGGUGUGAACCAAUCAGAGUGGGACAUGACAGCACGGUUUUGUAGGUAAAAUGUAUAUAAGCUGUGUUUAGUAGUGAAUAAACGCCAUUUUGCUGCUCAUCAUAUUGGUGUGUGUCUGCAGUCAUUUGGCCCUGAUCAGGCUAUUGAUCAGUGCGUGCAGAGGCCUAACACAGGUGGCUAACAUCGUUGUUGCAGAAAGCAACAAGUAACAUAGAAGCUAUAAUUUCAUAUGUAACUCCGAAAAUUUUGUCUUCUAAUGUUUUUUUUCUUUUUUUCUUUUUCUAGAAUGAGUUCACUGUGACAUUCAAAUGCAGCCAAAAUCCAAGAGGCAAGAAAGUAGUACCGCUUGAUAGACUUAAGACUGAAGUAACAUCAUAUUUGAAAAGUCAUGGAUGUUAGGCCAAGUCUUCUGUGACUGAAAAAAGAGAAACAUCACUGUCAUUUUAAAAAACGGAAAAAAGAAGACAGGGGAACUACAGGCUGGUGAGCCUCGCCUCUUUACCUGGGUAGAUUAUGGAGCAGAUCCUCCUACAAAUUAUGUUAGGACACAUGCAAGACAAGAAGGUGACCCAACACAGCCAGGAUGAUUUCACCAAGGGCAGAUCAUGUCCUUGUGUGGGCACAAAAAAAAAAACAAACAAACAACCAAAAAAGCAAUGGUGGUCUUUUAUGAUGGAGUGAAAGCAUUGGCUAGCAAAGGAAAUGAAACUGAUGUUGUCAACCUGGAUUUGUACAAGGACUUUGAUGUGGUCCCACACAUCAACUUUAUCUCUAAACUGGGGAGAGAUGGAUUUGAAGGGCGGACUAUCAGGUGGAUAAAGAAUUGGUUGGAUGGUAGCAAUGAGACAGCUGUUAUCAAUGGUUCUUUGUCAAGAUGAAGACUGAUCAUGAGUGGUAUCCCACAGAGGUCAGUCUUGGGAUUGGUGCCCUUCAACAUUUUUCUCAAUGACAUAGACUGUGGGAUCAAGUGUAUCCUCAACAAGUUUGCUGAUGACACUACGCUGAAUAUUGCAGUAAAUACAAUAGAAGGAAGGGAUGCCAUCCAGAGGGACCUGGACAGGAUCAAAAAUUGACCCACAUGAACAUAAUGAAGUUCAACAAUGCCAAGUGCAAGAUGUUACAAUUGGGUCAGGGCAAUCCCAGAUAUGUGUACAGAAUUGGAGAAGAACUCACUGAGAGCAGCCCUGUGGAGAAGAAUUUGGGGAUCCUGCAGGAUGAAAAGUUGGAUGUGAACCAGAAGCAUGUGCUUGCAGCCCAAAAGUCCAACAGUGUCCUGAGCUGCAUCAAAAGAAGGGUGGCCAACAGGAAGAGGGAAGGCAUUGUCCCCCUCUGCUCUGCCCUUGUGAAGCCCCAGAUGGAGUGCUGUGUCCAGGCCUGGGAACUUGAUGUGCAGCUGUUGGAGGAGGUCCAGAGGAGGGCCAUGAAGAUGAUCAGAGGGCUGGAGCACCUUGCCUAUGAAGAAGGGUUGAGGGAGCUGGACUUGUUUAGCAUGGAGAAUGCUCCAUGAAGACCUCUUUGCAGCCAUCCAGUAGUUAAAGGAGGCUCAUAAACAGGAGGGAGACUGACUUUUUACAUAGUCUGACAGUGAUAGGACAAGGGAGAAUAGCUUUAAACAAAAAAAGAAAAAAGAAAAGGGGGGGGAGAUUAAGGUUAGAUAUUAGAUGGAAUUUCUUUACUCAGAGGUUGGUGUUGCACUGAAUCAGGUUUCCCACAGAAAUCAUGGAUGCCCCAUCCCUGGAGGCAUUCAAGGCCACGUUAGAUGGGGCCCUGGGCAACAUGAUCUAGUGGGUUACAACCCACCCCAUGGCAGGAGGUUUGUAACUAGAUGAUCUUCAAGGUCCCUUUCAACCUAAGCCAUUCUAUGAUUCAUGUGAAAUAGAAUGGUGGGGGAAUAAAUGAAACAAAUAUAGGAGAUGAAUCUCCCAAACUUCAGUUUAAUAUCUGUGUUUCUUUUCUGCUGCUUCUAUGUUGCUUAAUGAACUUUAUUUUGAACUUUAUUUUUGAACUUUAUUUGAGGCUGUAUUUGUAUUUGAACUUUAAGAGGCUGUCUUGUACAACUAGUAUGAAAUGAAAAUUGUACCUGAACCAACUCUCUG